GUAAAGGUUUAUAGGCACAAAGGCCCAUUAAUUACAUUCUAUAAACAUACAUUAGGGUAUAUGAAGAAACAUAGACCUGAAAAUGUAAGAAGAGACCAGAAGUCAAUUCUCAAUCCUGAAUGCUAUAAAGCAUUCAGAGAGAUAGUCAGGUCUACAAAAGGUGCACAGGUGAAAAUAUAAAGAUGACAAGUGUGCACAUUGCUCCCUAGAGAACCAGCAACAACUUAUCAGGUUUAUUUCAAUAAUGAUCCUUCCGCAGGUUCACCUACGGAAA
rnacentral:misc_RNA from 1 species